rnacentral:rRNA from 1 species
GUAGUCUCGCACAGAUGCAUAUCAAUAAGCGGAGGAAAAGAAACUAACAAGGAUUCCCCUAGUAACGGCGAGUGAAGCGGGAAGAGCUCAAAUUUGAAAUCUUAAAGGGUUUCCCUUUACGAAUUGUAGUUUAAAGAAGUGUUUUCUGUUGAGGUUUUGGUAAAAGUUCUUUGGAAUAGGACAUCAUAGAGGGUGAGAGUCCCGUAUUUGACCUUUACUUUCAACUUUGUGAUACACUUUCAAAGAGUCGGAUUGUUUGGGAAUGCAGUCCAAAAUGGGUGGUAAAUUUCAUCUAAAGCUAAAUAUUGGCGAGAGACCGAUAGCGAACAAGUACCGUGAGGGAAAGAUGAAAAGAACUUUGAAAAGAGAGUUAAACAGUACGUGAAAUUGUCAAAAGGGAAGCGUUUGACACCAGUGUUGUUUUUCUGAAAAUCAAUUAAAGAACUGUUUAUGCUAAGUUGUUUAGACUUUAUCAGCUAACUGUUUAGUUUUGAGCUUUUCUUUAAUGCACUUUUCAGUUAACAAGUCAACAUCAAUUUCUUUUGCUGUAAAAAAGCUUGAGGAAGGUGGCUUGAGAUUCGUCUUAAGUGUUUAUAGCCUCUUGCCUAUGCAGUCGGAGAGAUUGAGGUCUGCAGCGUAGAUCCUUCGGGGCUAAAUGCAUUUGUGCUAAGUUAUAGCAUUUCAUAGACAACUUGUUGACUAUGAUUUGUCUUGUAGCUUACUCGCUUAUGUUAUUUUACCUACGCUUAGGAUGUUGAUCUGUAGUGCGUGCGC